UGGCAUCUUUAAUAAACCCCACCGUUGCCAUUGUGGCCCCUGGGACAAGAAAAGUUGCAAGAUCAAUCUUAGAACAUCCAAAACCAAGCGCCACUUGUCUGAUGCUCUUGGUUAUUUCACCUCUAAGACACAAU